rnacentral:rRNA from 1 species
AUUGAACGCUGGCGGCAUGCUUUACACAUGCAAGUCGAACGGUAACAGCACUUCGGUGGCUGACGAGUGGCGCACGGGUGAGUAAUACAUCGGAACGUGCCUAGUAGUGGGGGAUAACUACUCGAAAGAGUAGCUAAUACCGCAUGAGAUCUAGGGAUGAAAGCAGGGGACCUUCGGGCCUUGCGCUACUAGAGCGGCUGAUGGCAGAUUAGGUAGUUGGUGGGAUAAAAGCUUACCAAGCCGACGAUCUGUAGCUGGUCUGAGAGGACGACCAGCCACACUGGGACUGAGACACGGCCCAGACUCCUACGGGAGGCAGCAGUGGGGAAUUUUGGACAAUGGGCGCAAGCCUGAUCCAGCAAUGCCGCGUGCAGGAUGAAGGCCUUCGGGUUGUAAACUGCUUUUGUACGGAACGAAAAGCCCUCUUCUAAUACAGGAGGGUCAUGACGGUACCGUAAGAAUAAGCACCGGCUAACUACGUG